rnacentral:misc_RNA from 1 species
AUGGAUUUACAGAGGGUUGAUGCUGGUAGUUUAUCUACAUGUGCCCACUCUUCUGAUUUAUUUACACCUGUGCACUUGAUUUUUUUCAAGGGUCAGGGUAGAACCUGCCUUUGGGACUUAUAAGCCCCUAACCCCUAUAUUGGAACAAUGGAUGUUUAUCUGCCGCAAGGCAAAAUUUUUAAUA